AUUGAACGCUGGCGGCAUGCUUUACACAUGCAAGUCGAACGGUAACAGGCCUUCGGGUGCUGACGAGUGGCGAACAGGUGCGUAAUGCAUCGGAACGUGCCCAGAGGUGGGGGAUAACGCAGCGAAAGCUGUGCUAAUACCGCAUGUGAUCUGAGGAUGAAUGCGGGGGACCAGGCAGCAAUGUUUGGCCUUGCGCCUUUGGAGCGGCCGAUGUCAGAUUAGGUAGUUGGUGGGGUAAAGGCCUACCAAGCCGACGAUCUGUAGCUGGUCUGAGAGGACGACCAGCCACACUGGGACUGAGACACGGCCCAGACUCCUACGGGAGGCAGCAGUGGGGAAUUUUGGACAAUGGGCGCAAGCCUGAUCCAGCAAUGCCGCGUGCGGGAAGAAGGCCUUCGGGUUGUAAACCGCUUUUGUACGGAACGAAAAGGCUCUGGCUAAUACCUGGGGCUGAUGACGGUACCGUAAGAAUAAGCACCGGCUAACUACGUG
rnacentral:rRNA from 1 species